rnacentral:pre_miRNA from 1 species
GUGUGCAUGUGUGUGGAUGGUGUUCAGUACUGGGUACAGGAAUGCUUAUUUCUAUAUGGAUGGUGUUCAGCACCAAGGACAGGUCUAUUUGUCU